AACAAACGCUGGCGGCGUGCCUAAUACAUGCAAGUCGAACGGGGAAAGCUUUCGGGUGAGUACUAGUGGCGCACGGGUGAGUAACGCGUGGAUAAUCUGCCUUAGAGUGGGGGAUAACUAGUCGAAAGAUUAGCUAAUACCGCAUAAGACCACAAGAACUGCGGUUCAAGGGGUCAAAGGUUUUUCGCUCUAAGAUGAGUCCGCGUAAGAUUAGCUAGUUGGUAGGGUAACGGCCUACCAAGGCGACGAUCUUUAACUGGUCUGAGAGGAUGAUCAGUCACACGGGAACUGAGACACGGUCCAGACUCCUACGGGAGGCAGCAGUAGGGAAUAUUGCACAAUGGAGGUAACUCGGAUGCAGCGACGCCGCGUGAGUGAUGAAGGCCUUCGGGUCGUAAAGCUCUGUCGCAGGGGAAUAACACAAUGAAGGUACCCUGUAAGAAAGGAUCGGCUAACUUCGUGCCAGCCGCCGCAGUAAUAC
rnacentral:rRNA from 1 species